AUGUUGCGAUAUGACCUUGAAGACCAGCUUUCAACCAUCUACACUGAUGAAGAGGCCUACUGGUGUCUGCGCAGUACCCAGCGGUGGGUACUCCGGGGAGAUGCCAACACCGCAUAUUUUCAGGCGGUGGCGAACGGCCGUCGACGCCGCAACUCCAUCCACUGCCUCUAGGAUGGCGAGACCCCUCUUGUCCUCCCCGCGGCCAUCCGCUCUCAUGUGGAUGGCUUUUACAAGGCUCUAUUUACCCCCACCCCUCGGGGUGGGGCUAGUCUCGCCCCUGACAUUUGGUUGGGUGCGCAAUUGGUCUCUGAUGCGGCCAACGCCGCUUUAGUGGCCCCCUUCACCGAGGAUGAGGUUCUCUAGGCUAUUAAAGGGAUGAACCCCGCCUCUGCCCCGGGGCCGGAUGGCCUGCCAGUAAUGUUUUUUAAGACAUUCUGGCAGACCAUCAAGCCAGAGGUCAUGGCUCUGUUUGAGGAAUUCUUCUCGGGCACUAUGGAUCUUGGGCGCCUUAACUAUGGCAUCGUGACCCUCAUCCCCAAGGUCUCGGGCGCCUCCGACAUCCGCCAAUUUCGACCAAUCACUGUG
rnacentral:rRNA from 1 species